rnacentral:antisense_RNA from 1 species
CUUCAACGAGCCGAGCCACAGGGGGCGUUCGGCGUCGCGCUCGCGCCCGUACGUGUUGAUCAGGGCCUGGGCCUC